AAGGCUUUAAGUUAAACUAAACUAAUAGCCUUCAAAGUUAUCAAUAAAGUCGAUUCUUUAAGCCUUA
rnacentral:tRNA from 1 species